CAUUCUCAAAAAGAAAUUAACUCCAUCCCCAAAUAAAUCCCCAAAAUUGUUGGACUGGAUGCUAAGUCUACAGGAUAUUUGGACAGAUUAGCAUCAAAGAGUUUUUGACAGUGCAGAGAGUGCUGGAAGAUGGGUGAUUAUACAUCUCUCUCUCUCUCUUUCUACAUAUAAAGAUACUACAGUGUGUAUGAGAUGCAUGAUAUUUUUUGACAAAGCACAGGUUGCAGCUCAAGAAGAACAGCUUCUAGAGGGGUGAUACUCAUCCUUCUUCUGUCAUGGCAGCAUGGAAACAGAGGCUUCAAGGCUGUGACUCAAGAGAGGGGCUCUGGG
rnacentral:lncRNA from 1 species